CCUACGGGAGGCAGCAGUGAGGAAUAUUGGUCAAUGGACGAGAGUCUGAACCAGCCAAGUAGCGUGAAGGAUGCCUGCCCUAUGGGUUGUAAACUUCUUUUAUAUGGGAAUAAAACGUUCCACGUGUGGGAUUUUGUAUGUACCAUAUGAAUAAGGAUCGGCUAACUCCGUGCCAGCAGCCGCGGUAAUACGGAGGAUCCGAGCGUUAUCCGGAUUUAUUGGGUUUAAAGGGAGCGGAGGUGGAUUGUUAAGUCAGUUGUGAAAGUUUGCGGCUCAACCGUAAAAUUGCAGUUGAAACUGGCAGUCUUGAGUACAGUAGAGGUGGGCGGAAUGCGUGGUGUAGCGGUGAAAUGCUUAGAUAUCACGAAGAACUCCGAUUGCGAAGGCAGUUCACUGGACUGCAACUGACACUGAGGCUCGAAAGUGUGGGUAUCAAACAGGAGUAGAUACCCCAGUAGUC
rnacentral:rRNA from 1 species